rnacentral:rRNA from 1 species
GCAUAUCAAUAAGCGGAGGAAAAGAACCAACCAGGGAUUGCCUCAGUAACGGCGAGUGAAGCGGCAACAGCUCAAAUUUGAAAUCUGGCCUCUUUGGGGUCCGAGUUGUAAUUUGUAGAGGAUGUUUCGGGCACCGCUCCGGUUUAAAUUUCUUGGAACAGAAUGUCAAAGAGGGUGAGAACCCCGUCUUGGACCGGCAGUAGGGCCCAUGUGAAACUCCUUCGACGAGUCGAGUUGUUUGGGAAUGCAGCUCAAAAUGGGUGGUAAAUUUCAUCUAAAGCUAAAUAUUGGCCAGAGACCGAUAGCGCACAAGUAGAGUGAUCGAAAGAUGAAAAGCACUUUGAAAAGAGAGUUAAACAGUACGUGAAAUUGUUGAAAGGGAAGCGCUUGCAACCAGACUUGCGCGCGGCGGUUCCCCCUUCCUUUUGGUUGGGUUAUUCCGCCGUGUCCAGGCCAACAUCGGUUCUGGGGGUCGGUUAAAGGCCUGGGGAAUGUAUCUACCCUUCGGGCGUAGACUUAUAGCCCCGGGUGUCAUGCGACCUCCCGGGACCGAGGAACGCGCUUCGGCUCGGAUGUUGGCGUAAUGGUUGUCAGCGACCCGUCUUGAAACACGGACCAAGGAGUCUAACAUCUAUGCGAGUGUUUGGGUGUCAAACCCGGAACGCGGAAUGAAAGUGAACGGAGGUAGGAAGCUUCGGCUGCACUAUCGACCGAUCCUGAUGUCUUCGGAUGGAUUUGAGUAAGAGCAUAGCUGUUGGGACCCGAAAGAUGGUGAACUAUGCCUGAAUAGGGUGAAGCCAGAGGAAACUCUGGUGGAGGCUCGCAGCGGUUCUGACGUGCAAAUCGAUCGUCAAAUUUGGGUAUAGGGGCGAAAGACUAAUCGAACCAUCUGGG